UGGCCAAAUUGGUAUUCUCUGACCCCCGGGGCAUCUGGAAACGAGUCAUUCCUGUUGGGUUUAUUAGUGCUUGAACAACAAGACCUUCAUCAGGCAGGAGUUUUGGUAUCUCCCCUCAGCAGGCCUGUGAAGACUCGGGACAGGCGUCAGCCAUGAAGAUCCUGUACCUGCUCUUUCCCCUCUUGCUCCUGUUGGUCCAGGGUGCUGCAGGAAAUCGGGCUAAGUGCAGAGAGAAAAGGGGAUACUGCACUUUGGGACGCUGCCGCUACCCUGCAAUAACUAUUGGAGCGUGUUCCAGAUUUCAGGAAUGCUGCAGAAGUGUCUGGGGCUGAGCCCCUGAACUCCAUGAGCAGGACGUCCCCCUCCCUUCUCGCUCCUGGCACCAUGUCCUGAUGUCCUCUCCACUCCCCGCCUCUGCCGUCCCCAGGGGCUGUGACAGCAGGAGUGGAAGCGCUGCUCCUGCUGGGUGCCCGUGUGCUGGGGACAUCCCGUCAUGGAGCCAGUGCUGCUGGGGCAGAGGCUGCUUUUCCCGCCUUGAAUAAAGACAAGCAGUUUGGCAUUGCA